CACCCGGCAAUGGUCAAAGACACACCUUGUUGAUGGUGGUGUUCUCAUAUCAGUCAGAGGUAAAGCUGAUGACACUCCUUUGUUCAUCCUAGCCUGAUUCUGCACUUGGUGUCCAGAGCUGUUUUAUACCUAGGACUCAUAA